rfam:Gossypium arboreum cultivar AKA8401 contig_118622_1, whole genome shotgun sequence.
GGGUGCAUUCAUACCAGCACUAAUGCACCGGAUCCCAUAAGAACUCUGCAGUUUAAGCGUGCUUGGGAGAGAGUAGUACCAGGAUGGGUGACUUGGUGAGAAGUCCUCGUGUUUCACCCC